AAGAAAUUUGACAAUUACCAUGGGAACACCCAGUUUAUGGUAUCUAUAGAGCUUUCCACUACUCACUGCUGCAGUUCAGGAUCUGAGAUCUUGCAUUUUUUUUCACAGAAAACAUCUGACUUGUAACUCUGAUUCACCUCUGUUUGACUGGACAGCAUGCUCUUGUGUCUUAGUGGCGUUCAAAAGGGAGUGGACACCAUAGGUUGACAGAACACUGAGUGUGGCCCCAGCAAAAACUGAUUAAAAAAAAAACCAACAGACAAAAGAUAGACAUAAAGGCUUUCCAUGGAAGCAACUGCAAUUGGCGUCUAGUCAUAAAGAAAUCGUCCAGUUUCAUCCAAAAUGAGAGAAAUGCAAAACUUUCUAAUCUAGUGGAAGAAAUGAUAUGCAUGUAUAAUUAACUUCAAAACGAUGGCAGUGUGUAAUCAAUCAUGGAUUCUUCAGAGAUAGCUGGGUGGUGAGUUAGAUCUGCUCACGCAGGCAGAGCAUGCGUAGUCGGAGCAUCUGUGGCUGGCACUGGAGACCUGGAGCACAUCCUCCUCUGGUUUGAUUGUUUUCUGCUUCAAAUACAGAAAUCGCAGAAGAGCUUGGUGAGUGUGUAACAAAGGGUCAUCAGAGUCAACUGAAUUUGUCUUAUUUUUGUUGUUUCUGCCUCUGAAAGGGGAGGUUGGCAGCAUUGUCCAUGGCCAGCGGCCAUUGGAAGGCUUCAUUACUAGGUCACCUGGCCAUCUGUCUCUGGAUUUUUUUUUUUAAAGUCUUGAAUUGACAAUAUAGCUGGGAUUGGCCUUAAACUCCUGGCAGUACUCAUGGUUCAAGGGCCUAAGUGCUGCGAUUAUAGGUGUGUGCUACCACAUUUGGGCCUCUGAAAUAUUUCAGAGUCAGGGAUAGAUGAGGUGUCUCUUCAAAUACAUACAUGUUUGGCUUUCCUCCUUGGGUUUCCUGGGAAAAC
rnacentral:lncRNA from 1 species